UUACUAAAUUAAUUCAAAGCCCAACAGCAAUGUAAUUUAACUUAAGCCCAUUAGAAUAUUAAUAUGCACAUCAUAUUAACUUAAGCCCAACUAAAAUAACUUAAUAUCUCUCUCUUUUCUUUUCUUUUUCCUCACCAACGUCUCUCUCUGCGCUCUCUCUCUCUCACCGCUCUUCUCUCUCUCUUUCUCGGCGAGCAUCGCCGGUUCUCGCCGCCUCCGGCGCGGCGAGGCCGGCCCCUCUUCUGCCCUCUCCUUUCCUUCCCUAUUUUCUCCCCAAAUUCUAAAACCCCCAAAUUCUAGGGUUUUCUGGCACUAUUUUUCCUUCUGAAAUCCGCCCCUCCGACAAGGUCCGUCGCCGUCUUCAUCCCAGGAAUUGAUCGGCGUCGUCGACUCCGGCGUGACAGCUUCGUCUACUGCCCAAGAUUCUACCUUUCCUUCCUUUCUUUUUAUUUAUCUGGUUUCUUGUUCAAUUAUUGAAAAUUGGGAUCGUUGAUGACGAAGUAUACUGCUGCUUAUGCUUAACUUGUAUAACUAUAACUAUAUCUAUUUUGAUUGUUCAUGGCUGUUGAUCUAUACUCAAUGAAUGGAUUAUUGAAUAAAAGAAAGACUACCUUCUUUGCUGUGAA